AUGAAAAGUGAGCUCAAGAUCUUACCCAAUCAUCUUUUUCAAGCUAAAUGGCAGCAGCAGAAGUUCUGGGAAAUAGUGAAAAAUCCCCCCAAAGAUUCAGUUGUCUGUAUUAUGGACUUCGCUGAAAAUUAUACUUGCCUUUUACAGAACGAGGUACAGAGUGCCCACUGGCCUAAAGUCCAGGUUACAAAUCACAUGGUAGUGUGUUUCUACUCUUGUUCUUGUGGUGAUCCAGAGCUAGUACUAGAUUCAGUGAUAAUGGUGUCAAAUGAUGCCAAGCAUGAUUCCCAUGCUGUCGCAGUAUUUGAUAACACUGUCACUGAUCAUCUAAAAAAUGUUCGCCAACUCGCAUUGUCCAGGAUGAUUCAGUUCACAGAUGGAUGUAGUGGACAAUACAAGUCUAAAACUCCUUUUGUUGACAUUUCCUUUGGUCAGCAGGAUCUAGAUUUGGAUGUAGAAAGACACUUUUUUGGGUCUCUUCAUGGUAAGUCUCCAUGUGAUGGGGAAGGGGGCGUGGUGAAAUCUGCAGCAGCUCGUACCGUCAAGGCUAGUGAUGAAAUCAUCAACUCUCCAGAAUCUUUCUUUAGAUUUUGUGAGAAAGAACUGUCAAAGCCUGCUCUUCUAGAUUCUGGUACCUGCAAUCAUUCCAGGCGAUGUUUCUACUUUGUACCUCUUGAGCAAGUUGUUCGUGAACGCCAAGACCGGGUUGAUGUUGGGACUGUUCCAGGGACAAGACAAAUUCAUGUUGUUCGAGGUCGUGAGCCGUAUAGUGUCCAGACUCGCAGGUUAUCCUGCUUCUGCAAAGCAUGUGAAGAGGACAGAGGAGAGUGUUCUGAUAGGUCAUACACAGGUCCCUGGGUUGAUAGGGUAAUCAAGCUGAAGAAACAGCCACAUGCAGAUCCAUCCCUGGACAUCUCUGGUAUAUCAGGUGAGCACUGUUUCCAAGCCCAGACACCAAUGUAGGUGAUCUUGCAGAAAUGGGUGAUCUAGUAGAUGAUCUCAUAGAAGACUUAGAAAGUGGUCAUUUCCAGCUUGAGGUGAGUACAGAUACUAAGUGUUAAAAAAAUAUAUAUUUUUACAUGAUUGUUCAAUUGCUAAAAAUGUAUUAAAUUGUAUACCUGUAUUCAAUCACCACGAUACCUACACAUCAUUGAUAUCGUACAGAUUUUUUAACAAAACAAAUCUUUCACAUCACUUUCAGGAUCGAAGUGCUGCAACAAAUGUACAUGAGACUGACCCUGUUGUUGUAGCUGGCUGCUCCCAAACACAGCUGAAACACAGUAUUUGUCCGGCAGAACGCCUACCCAUCUGUCUCCGGUGAGUUUCUAGUCUGUCUCUAUCCCCUUGAUAAUACAUAUCACAUAGAUCACAUCAUUAUAGAUAAUAGGCAUAUUGUCUCAGCGUUUUUUUUUCUUUUUCUAUGCAUAGGCCAGUAUUUUGUAGCCUACAGAGACCAACUGCUUUUUUUUUUUUUUUGCCCAACUUAACCAAUUAAAACCACACAGAACUGAUUACAUGAUGGAAUUGUAUAAAUGGGAAAAUAAUUGAGAAGGGUCUGGCUGCAGACAUGAUGCACUCUCAGACACACGCAUGCGCACUGUUUUAAGUGCACGAACAGGCCACUCAACGUCAUACAUAGGAUUUACCGGUCGUACAGAAAUUAUUGUAAGUAUAUUUAUUUUAUUCUUUCAAGAUUAAGUUGAAGUAAAAGUGUUGUUUUAGGUAAAUGUUUUGAAAACUACACUAAUAUGUAUCUCAUAUAUCCUGCACGCACAGGUCUUUCGACGUAAACAACGUACGUUAGAGGAUUCAACGACAGCAAAUAAAUUAUUGUAAGUAUAUUCACUGUAUC
rnacentral:lncRNA from 1 species